GAUGAACGCUGGCGGCGUGCCUAAUACAUGCAAGUCGAGCGAACGGACGAGAAGCUUGCUUCUCUGAUGUUAGCGGCGGACGGGUGAGUAACACGUGGAUAACCUACUUAUAAGACUGGGAUAACUUCGGGAAACCGGAGCUAAUACCGGAUAAUAUUUUGAACCGCAUGGUUCAAAAGUGAAAGACGGUCUUGCUGUCACUUAUAGAUGGAUCCGCGCUGCAUUAGCUAGUUGGUAAGGUAACGGCUUACCAAGGCAACGAUGCAUAGCCGACCUGAGAGGAUGAUCAGCCACACUGGAACUGAGACACGGUCCAGACUCCUACGGGAGGCAGCAGUAGGGAAUCUUCCGCAAUGGGCGAAAGCCUGACGGAGCAACGCCGCGUGAGUGAUGAAGGUCUUCGGAUCGUAAAACUCUGUUAUUAGGGAAGAACAUAUGUGUAAGUAACUGUGCACAUCUUGACGGUACCUAAUCAGAAAGCCACGGCUAACUACGUG
rnacentral:rRNA from 1 species